AACGAACGCUGGCGGCAUGCCUAACACAUGCCAGUCGAACGAGACCUUCGGGUCUAGUGGCGCACGGGUGCGUAACGCGUGGGAACCUGCCCUUAGGUUCGGAAUAACUCCCCGAAAGGGGUGCUAAUACCGGAUAAUGUCUUCGGACCAAAGAUUUAUCGCACUUGGAUGGGCCCGCGUUGGAUUAGCUAGUUGGUAAGGUAAUAGCCUACAAAGGCGGCGAUCCAUAGCUGGUCUGAGAGGAUGAUCAGCCACACUGGGACUGAGACACGGCCGAGACGCGUAAGGGAGGCAGCAGUAGGGAAUCAUACGCAAGGGGGGAAAGGGGGAUGGAGGAAAGUAGCGUGAGGGAUGAAGGUCUUAGGAUCGGAAAACUAUGUUAGUAGGGAAGAACAUAUGUGUAUGUAACUGGGCAGAUCGUGACGGUACAUAAUCAGAAAGCCACGGCUAACUACGUG
rnacentral:rRNA from 1 species